UUACACACUCUUCAUUAUAAUAUCAUAUUUUCUGUACACAAUUAUCCGUGUACCCUGUAUAAUACACGACUGCGCGCCACACAUAUUAUUAUAAUGUGUGCGGCGGUGCACGUGCCAAGCGAUAACGACGUAAUUUUAUUCGGUCGGACCCGGAAAGUGUAACCGGAAACAAAACGCCGUCGCCGCGGCCGGAUCCGACGUUUGUUUUUCGGUCGCGUCCUGCCAAAAUGUAUUUUCAUUCCCGUUAUAUAGGCCGACGUUUUUCAACUUUUGGGUCGCCCCAACAUUU